UCCGUAGGUGAACCUGCGGAAGGAUCAUUACUGAUUUGCUUAAUUGCACCACAUGUGUUUUUUAUUGAACAAAUUUCUUUGGUGGCGGGAGCAAUCCUACCGCCAGAGGUUAUAACUAAACCAAACUUUUUAUUUACAGUCAAACUUGAUUUAUUAUUACAAUAGUCAAAACUUUCAACAACGGAUCUCUUGGUUCUCGCAUCGAUGAAGAACGCAGCGAAAUGCGAUACGUAAUAUGAAUUGCAGAUAUUCGUGAAUCAUCGAAUCUUUGAACGCACAUUGCGCCCUUUGGUAUUCCAAAGGGCAUGCCUGUUUGAGCGUCAUUUCUCCCUCAAACCCCCGGGUUUGGUGUUGAGCAAUACGCUAGGUUUGUUUGAAAGAAUUUAACGUGGAAACUUAUUUUAAGCGACUUAGGUUUAUCCAAAACGCUUAUUUUGCUAGUGGCCACCACAAUUUAUUUCAUAACUUUGACCUCAAAUCAGGUAGGACUACCCGCUGAACUUAAGCAUAUCAAUAAGCGGAGGAAAAGA
rnacentral:sRNA from 1 species